rnacentral:lncRNA from 1 species
CUCAAGAACACUGCCAGCUUCAAACUCAUGGUACGAUUGCGUCAAAGCCCAGUCGCCUCCAAGCUUACCAUCAAGAUCAUGCCAAGAAGAUACUUUUCAGAUGUCUUACAAUUUAGGAUUUGAUUUUUGAUUCUAACAUAUGAAAAAAUCAAACCCUAGGGUACACAAGCAACACUUGCUAAAAAUCUCACCAUCCUUCUUGCAAAUUUUGCCACUUAAUUUUUUUUUAUC